rfam:Oryza nivara chromosome 1, whole genome shotgun sequence.
AAAAAAACAAACCCUAAAUUUCCGUGUCCAACGUUUGACCUCCGUAUUAUUUGAAAAAAAUAUGAAAAAAAUUAAAAAGAUAAGUCACGCAUAAAGUAUUAAUCAUGUUUUAUCAUCUAACAACAAUGAAAAUACUAAUUAUAAAAAAAUUUCAUAUAGAACGGACAGUCAAAUGUUGGAUACAGAAACCCAGGGUUUCUCUUUUU